GUUUGAGACAAUAACCAAGUUGAACAAGAUCAUGGAGAAUUCUCUAAGGGUAACUACAGGGAGACAGAGCUAGUGGUGUUGGGACUGUCAAAAAGAGAAUACUUAGUUCAAGGUGGAGCUGUUUCAUCAAGAAUAAGUUACAGCUGAGAAGACAAGGAACUAAAGAAGUGAUAAGUGGAAUUCUCUGAGGCAGAAACUGAAUAAAGGCCAGAAGAUCAAAGAAUUGUGAAGCUGUCUCAAGGGUAAGGCUACAUGAAACGUUGUCAGCGACUGUGGUGCUUAAUGCAGGGACAGUCGAGUGAAGUUUCAAAUAUCAGAAGCAUGGUAAAGUGAAGCUGAGAGACAUCAAGGCUUCUGUAAAGUCUGAGAAAGUAAAGGGUACAUGCACCAAGUAUUGGUGGGGUUCGCAGGUCAGCGAAGUACAAGCUUUUGCUUCAGGAAGAUUGUCUUGAGGAUUGUCACAGGUGGUGUACGUAUGAGACGGUUGCGGAAACACAUUAUGAGCUCGAAGAUAUAAUGUGAAGAAGCUGAAAAGGAAUUUC
rnacentral:lncRNA from 1 species